rnacentral:tRNA from 1 species
GGCUCAGUGGUCUUUGGUAUGAUUCUCGCUUUGGGUGCGAGAGGCCAUGGGUUCGAUUCCCGUCUGAGCCC